rnacentral:lncRNA from 1 species
GGCGCUGCCAGGAGUGGUUCCUGGAGCGGGAGGAGCCGGGAGCAAAGCAGACGAGGCUGCCCUCAGGGCCCGACAGUCCAGCAUCCUUUGGAGUUUGAGCUGGCUGCCAGCUCCCUGCCGCCAGAACCUCGUUAAGAUUCCUUCCAAGCUGGACUCCAAGAAUUGCAAGCCGCCUGGACUGGAUUUUGGUCUCCAGGGCCAGAGUCAGUGUGUUUCUGGUGCCUGGAGCCACACGGAUCAAGAAGCAGUUAGCUCUUCCCUCCUACGUUUUAUGGCGCUCUUCUGACACAGGGUCUGGGGGUCCCCCUGGGCUGGUGCUGGCACCCACCUCGUCCACCUCGCCGGCCUCGUCCCUUACAGGUGAGUCUGCCCUGACCACCCAAGCUCAGGGACCCUGCCAGCCACUCCCCUCGUUUCGUCUGAUCUUAUUUUUCUCAGAAACUUAUUGCUGUUUAAGACUGUCUUGUUCAUUUCUUUGUUUCUCACCUGCCUUCUCCUGCUGAAUUUCAACACGGCAAGAGCUGGGAUCCAUCUGUCCAGCUCUUUCCUGCAUCCCUGUGCAGGGAACAGCAGCUGGGGUGUGGUGGGGGCUUGGAAAAUACAUCUGAAUGAAUGAAUGAAUGAAUGAAGGACCUUCUUGGCCAGUAAGUACUCAGGUCCAGGGUAUCUGCAGGAGUGGACCUGCUUCUGAGGCACGGGAGCAUGCUUCUCCUCUACUUUGCAGCUUCGGCACAGUUUGGGGUUUGGGGAGGCGGGGAGGGAGAAGCAGCUGACCUCAAUUCCUUGGAGUGGGUGUGGGUGAAGUCUGAGGCAUGCUUAUGAUCACUUGAAACAGCAGCAGUGAGCCCACACGGCUUCUGAGCCUGGGUGGGAAAAGGCUACCCCAGCUUCCUCCUUGGGCGCUGGGACACUGGCCCCUGCAGCCCCGAGCAGCCCCCCAAAACAGGCCCACCGCCUGAGGCUGCCAUGACUUGAGGAAGCGCAGACAGCGAGAGGUGGCCCCCGCUGGGGAGUCCCAGCCGAGAGCCAGCAUCCACCGCCAGGCCGCGCGAAGGGGACACUCCCAGGUUGAUCCCAGCCCCUGGCAAACUUUCCCAGGCGGUUCCCAGGCGGUGGAGCAGAGAGAAGCCGCUCCUGUGGGUCCCUGUCUGAAUCCUGACCCACAGAAUUUGAGAGCAUGAAUGCUGUGGUCAUUUGAUGCCACUAGUUUUGGGAGUCGUUUCUCACCCAGCAGUAGCAACUGGAAAUUUCCCAGCACCCGGCGAUAUGACUUGAAUUAUGUCCCUCACACUCAUAUGUUUAAGUCCUACCCCCAGAGCCUCAGCCUGUGGCCUUAUUUGGAAAGAUGGUUUUAAAAAUUUUUUAAUUUAAUUGUAUUUCAUCUUUGCUUUUCAGCUUCUUUUCCCAUACAGAUUAUCACGGAAUCUUGGGUAGAGUCCCCUGUGCUGCACAGCAGGUCCCGCUAACAUCCAUUCCAUGUACAGUACCGUGCACCUGCCAAUC